UACGGAGGGGACUAGCGUUGUUCGGAAUUACUGGGCGUAAAGCGCACGUAGGCGGAUUUGUAAGUCAGGGGUGAAAUCCCGGGGCUCAACCUCGGAACUGCCUUUGAUACUGCAAAUCUCGAGUCCGGAAGAGGUGAGUGGAAUUCCUAGUGUAGAGGUGAAAUUUCGUAGAUAUUAGGAAGAACACCAGUGGCGAAGGCGGCUCACUGGUCCGGUACUGACGCUGAGGUGCGAAAGCGUGGGGAGCAAACAGGG
rnacentral:rRNA from 1 species